AGAGUUUGAUCAUGGCUCAGAGUGAACGCUGGCGGCGUGCUUAACACAUGCAAGUCGAACGGUAACAGAACUAGCUUGCUAGUUGCUGACGAGUGGCGCACGGGUGAGUAAUAUAUAGAUAACGUGCCUCUUAGUCUGGGAUAGCCAUUGGAAACGAUGAUUAAUACUAGAUACUCCUUCUCCUUUUAAUAGGAGUUGGGAAAGUUUUUCGCUAAGAGAUCGGUCUAUAUCCCAUCAGUUAGUUGGUAGUGUAAGAGACUACCAAGGCAAUGACGGGUAGCGGGUUUGAGAGGAUGAUCCGCCACACUGGUACUGAGACACGGACCAGACUCCUACGGGAGGCAGCAGUGAGGAAUAUUGCACAAUGGAGGAAACUCUGAUGCAGCAACGCCGCGUGGAGGAUGACGCAUUUCGGUGUGUAAACUCCUUUUAUAAGGGAAGAAAAUGACG
rnacentral:rRNA from 1 species